rnacentral:piRNA from 1 species
UCAGCCAGAGGUUGCACUUGCACAUG